AUUGAACGCUGGCGGCAGGCUAAACACAUGCAAGUCGAGCGAGCGGCGGACGGGUGAGUAAUGUCUGGGAAACUGCCUGAUGGAGGGGGAUGACUACUGGAAACGGUAGCUAAUACCGCAUACCAUCAGAUGUGCCCAGAUGGGAUUAGCUAGUAGGUGGGGUAAUGGCUCACCUAGGCGACGAUCCCUAGCUGGUCUGAGAGGCUGACCAGCCAGCCUGGACCGGAGACACGGGCCAUCCUCCUACGGGAGGCAGCCGUGAUGAAUAUUGCACAAUGGGCGCAAGCCUGAUGCAGCCAUGCCGCGUGUGUGAAGAAGGCCUUCGGGUUUUAAAGCACUUUCAGCGAGGAGGCGUUACUCGCAGAAGAAGCACCGGCUAACUCCGUGCCAGCAGCCGCGGUAAUAC
rnacentral:rRNA from 1 species